CCACAGUAACAUCCAAACAUGAGUGGGGCGAUACAUCCAAUCUGCCUGGCUCUGUGUCUGGCUGGCUGGGCUGUAUCUGGUGCUUCUGUUGAAGCUCAGAAGACCUCCCAGGUCUGUUACCUCUGUAACCAUGAUAACUGCCCAACCGUUGAGUGUGUUUAUGACCAUUUGACGGCUAAAUUUG